rnacentral:rRNA from 1 species
GUUGAUCGCGUCGGAAGUGUAAUCUUGGGGCUUAACCCUGAGCGUGCUUUCGAUACGGGUUGACUUGAGGAAGGUAGGGGAGAAUGGAAUUCCUGGUGGAGCGGUGGAAUGCGCAGAUAUCAGGAGGAACACCAGUGGCGAAGGCGGUUCUCUGGGCCUUUCCUGACGCUGAGGAGCGAAAGCGUGGGGAGCGAACAGGCUUAGAUACCCUGGUAGUCCACGCUGUAAACGGUGGGUACUAGGUGUGGGGUCCUUCCAGGGUUCCGUGCCGUAGCUAACGCUUUAAGUACCCCGCCUGGGGAGUACGGCCGCAAGGCUAAAACUCAAAGGAAUUGACGGGGCCCCGCACAAGCGGCGGAGCAUGCGGAUUAAUUCGAUGCAACGCGUAGAACCUUACCUGGGUUUGACAUGAUCGGGAGUGCUCAGAGAUGGGUGUGCCUCUUUUGGGGUCGGUUCACAGGUGGUGCAUGCCUGUCGUCAGCUCGUGUCGUGAGAUGUUGGGUUAAGUCCCGCAACGAGCGCAACCCUUGUUCACUGUUGCCAGCACGUUAUGGUGGGGACUCAGUGGAGACCGCCGGGGUCAACUCGGAGGAAGGUGGGGAUGACGUCAAGUCAUCAUGCCCCUUAUGUCCAGGGCUUCACGCAUGCUACAAUGGCUGGUACAGAGAGUGGCGAGCCUGUGAGGGUGAGCGAAUCUCGGAAAGCCGGUCUCAGUUCGGAUUGGGGUCUGCAACUCGACCUCAUGAAGUCGGAGUCGCUAGUAAUCGCAGAUCAGCACGCUGCGGGAAUACGUUCCCGGGGCUUACACACCGCCCU